GCAGUCUUUUAUUUUAACAUCUCUUGUUGAGUGGGUGAUUGUAGCCAGAUAACGACAAUUGUAAUGGAUUCCUGAUGGACACCUUUAUCCAACUGUGCCCAAUAGGUGCAACUACAUUCAUUGGCUUCAACAUCUUUCAUCAAAUAUUAUUCCAAACAUUGUUUCAAGUGAUGGCAAGGUCAGGGGAUUUAACAUUGGAACUGGAGCCAAUUGCAUUUACCCGUUCUUGGUGUUUUUCUUCAUGGAUGGAGUUUUGUAGGAUCAGGAAAGAAGGUGCAACAAAUGAGGAGAUAACAACAACAAUAACACUUGCUAAUGCCAAAAAGUUCAUUGAUAAGUUGCGUCAGGAGGGAUGGAUUUUCAUUAUGAGGGGCUUAGAUUGCAACAGAGAAUGUAAAUGCCUUCACCAAGCCAGUGUAUUUCAGCUUCAUCUAAGAGCCAUUAAUCUUUCAUAUUGAUCCUUGUACAUUGAGACCACAAAGACUAGUGUUGAUGGAGUUUUUGUUGUGGGAGAUGUCUAGCAUAAGAAGUAUAGGAAAGCUAUUAUUGUUGUUGCAUUUUUAAUACUUGUUUCAUAACCUUUAUAUUCAAAUAAAUUAGAUUACUUUAUUUGAUUCUUGGUUUUGAAAUAGGUGUUUUGAAUUUGAUGGCCAUGUUUUCUUCAUGUUCUCAAUAUAUGUAUUCCAUUAUGCAUCAUUUUGAAUCAUAUUAGAAUAUUUUGAACAUGUUAUGUAUCUUAAUUCAACUUAUGUGAACUUUUCCCAUCUUGUAUCUCUUUCUUACAAGCUUGAUACUGGUUGUUAUAUUAUGUGUAUCAAAUAUAAAGUUGUUCCUUA